rnacentral:rRNA from 1 species
CCUACGGGUGGCAGCAGUGGGGAAUAUUGGGCAAUGGGCGCAAGCCUGACCCAGCAACGCCGCGUGAAGGAAGAAGGCUCUCGGGUUGUAACAUUCUUUUCACAGGGACGAAGCAAGUGACGGUACCUGAGGAAUAAGACACGGCUAACUACGUGCCAGCAGCCGCGGUAAUACGUAGGCGGCAAGCGUGAUCCGGAUUUACUGGGUGUAAAGGGCGUGUAGGCGGGACUGCAAGUCAGAUGUGAAAACAACGGGCUCAACCUGUGGCCUGCAUGUGACACUGUAGUUCUUGAGUACUGGAGAGGCAGACGGAAUUCCUAGUGUAGCGGUGAAAUGCGUAGAUAUUAGGAGGAACACCAGUGGCGAAGGCGGUCUGCUGGACAGCAACUGACGCUGAGGCGCGAAAGCGUGGGGAGCAAACAGGAUUAGAUACCCGAGUAGUC